GAGCCGUUAGCUCAGUGGUAGAGCAUCGGACUUUUAAUCCGAGGGUCGUGGGUUCGACCCCCACACGGCUCACCA
rnacentral:tRNA from 1 species